CUUUUCUUUUUAUUUUAUUUUGUAUGUUUAUUUUCAGUUUUAUAAUGUUGUGUGUUUUUUUUUUUUAGGUGUGUUUCUUUUAUUGUUGUUUCUUUUUUUUCACUAAUGAAAUUGAAGGAUCAUUUAGGCCAAGUUUAUGUAGACUUUCCAAGUAAAACUCAAAACCUGUCCCUUUGUUCAAAAUUUUGCUCGUUAUUGUCCUUCAUAUAUUUUACACAUUUAAUCUUUUCAUUGAGGAUAAUGUUUCAUUUAGGUUGGGGGAAGGAAUAAAAAAAAAAGUUCUUACCGACCGAUGAUAAUAUUUGAAAUUGUUUUUAUAUUAUUGUGACUAGGGGAUGCUACUUUGAUUUAGUUUAAGCUUGUUCAUGUUAGAUUGAUCUACAUUGAGCACAAUAAUCAUGAAAAUCACAUAUUAUUUAGAUUGGAUCAAGGGAUAGAAUAUGUAGAAUUAACUAUGACAAAAAAAAAAAAAAUUC
rnacentral:lncRNA from 1 species